CCAUACUUAGAUGGAUAGUGAUAGCUGUCUUUUAGCUAUUUUUGAAUUUUAAGUAUGAUGUUGUGUUUGCAUAUUGGUCUAGGAAACUAGACUAGAGUAACAAAAAAGUUACUCGUUUCACUUCCUGUAUAUUUUGAACCUUUUGGUUUAGCUACCGCCCAUGUUGGGCGGUUUUUUAU
rnacentral:other from 1 species